GCGCGAGAUGGAUACAGGGACGCCGCACACGUAUUUGCAUGAAUGCCUCGCUGAGAUGUUAUCAUACACUCUCGUCAGUCACAAGGCAUAUGGAAAAAUAAGCGUAUGAAUGGGUACGUAUGUAAGUACCCGUUUACAUAUACAAAGUGGUUGCAAGGUAGCUAUUGCCCUUCCGUUACUCCUCCCUUGCCAUGGCUCCACAAUCGGGACCCACAUCGGCCAAGGACUACAUGCGCAAUGGUCGGUUGCGCAGUGGGUUCCGUCGAGGGUAGCUCAUCAUGAAAGAU
rnacentral:lncRNA from 1 species